rnacentral:misc_RNA from 1 species
GAUGAAGAACGCAGCGAAAUGCGAUAAGUAAUGCGAAUUGCAGAAUUCAGUGAGUCAUCGAGUCUUUGAACGCACAUUGCGCCCCCUGGUAUUCCGGGGGGCAUGCCUGUCCGAGCGUCAUUGCUGCCCUCAAGCACGGCUUGUGUGUUGGGCCCCGUCCUCCGAUCCCGGGGGACGGGCCCGAAAGGCAGCGGCGGCACCGCGUCCGGUCCUCGAGCGUAUGGGGCUUUGUCACCCGCUCUGUAGGCCCGGCCGGCGCUUGCCGAUCAACCCAAAUUUUUAUCCAGGUUGACCUCGGAUCAGGUAGGGAUACCCGCUGAACUUAAGCAUAUCAAUAAGCGGAGGA